CGCGAUUCGCCCUUCGGGGUGCAGCAGGCGCGAAAACUCCACAAUGUACGACAGUACGAUGGGGUUAUCUCGAGUGCAGUCCGAUAAGGGCUGCUUUUCCAUAGAGUAAUAUCCUGUGGGAAUAAGAGGGGGGCAAGACUGGUGUCAGCCGCCGCGGUAACACCAGCCCCUCGAGUGGUGGGGACUAUUAUUUGGUCUAAAGCGUCCGUAGCUGGCUGUAUCCGUCCCCCGUUAAAUCCAGCGUCCUAAGCGUUGGACUGCGGGUGAUACCAUACAGCUAGAGGGUGGGAUAGGUGAGCGGUAUUUCUGGGGUAGGGGCGAAAUCCUUUGAUCCCAGGAGGACCACCAGUGGCGAAGGCUGCUCACUAGAGCACGCCUGACGGUCAGGGACGAAAGCUGGGGCAGCGAACCAGAUUAGAUACCCGGGUAGUCCCAGCUGUAAACGAUGCCAGCCAGGUGUUGGGUCGGCCACGCGCCGCCCCAGUGCCGCAGGGAAGCCGUUAAGCUGGCCACCUGGGGAGUACGGCCGCAAGGCUGAAACUUAAAGGAAUUGGCGGGGGAGCAC
rnacentral:rRNA from 1 species